rnacentral:rRNA from 1 species
CGUGUAGGCGGGAUUGCAAGUCAGAUGUGAAAUGUCGGGGCUUAACUCCGAAGCUGCAUCUGAAACUGCAGUUCUUGAGUGCUGGAGAGGAAAGCGGAAUUCCUAGUGUAGCGGUGAAAUGCGUAGAUAUUAGGAGGAACACCAGUGGCGAAGGCGGCUUUCUGGACAGUAACUGACGCUGAGGCGCGAAAGCGUGGGGAGCAAACA